rnacentral:rRNA from 1 species
AUUGAACGCUGGCGGCAGGCCUAACACAUGCAAGUCGAGCGGAUGAAGGGAGCUUGCUCCUGGAUUCAGCGGCGGACGGGUGAGUAAUGCCUAGGAAUCUGCCUGGUAGUGGGGGAUAACGUCCGGAAACGGGCGCUAAUACCGCAUACGUCCUGAGGGAGAAAGUGGGGGAUCUUCGGACCUCACGCUAUCAGAUGAGCCUAGGUCGGAUUAGCUCGCUGGUGGGGUAAAGGCCUACCAAGGCGACGUUCCGUAACUGGUCUGAGAGGAUGAUCAGUCACACUGGAACUGAGACACGGUCCAGACUCCUACGGGAGGCAGCAGUGGGGAAUAUUGGACAAUGGGCGAAAGCCUGAUCCAGCCAUGCCGCGUGUGUGAAGAAGGUCUUCGGAUUUUAAAGCACUUUAAGUUGGGAGGAAGGGAAGUAAGUUAAUACCUUGCUGUUUUGACGUUACCAACAGAAUAAGCACCGGCUAACUUCGUG